CCAAUCGACAGUCACUCAUUACACAGAGAAUCAGAUUUGUUGCGUUGUGGAGUUAUAUUCUGUUUGGACCUAGACAACUGUCAGUAAACAGACUUUAUUUUAAGCUGGAUUAAAGAAGUUUGAUUCCCAUGAAGUGCAAGAAUAUUUCACUCAGCCAUUGUGGGGCUCAAUUAGCCUUCAACCCAACCUACAGAGAUCAUCAAGCACUGAGACAGAAGAAGGACGAGGCUUUGUGGAAAGGGAGAAGCAUCCAACAACAGACGAGGAAACAGGAGAUGGUCUGUGCCAAAAGGGAGUCCCUAUGCAGGAAGUCGGAGAAAAUGGCCAAGUCCAGCGAGAGGCAGAAAAGGCCUUGGCACUUUCCGGGGUCAAAAGGAGGGUAGACUCCCACACGGCUUUACAACCCAGAAAACCAACAUCAUCUUCACCGCCAUGAGAACCUCAAAUCUCCAGUGACUGAAGUUAGCUCAUUUCAAGCGACUCAACUGAGUAGCCCACUCUCCCUUCAACUUUCCACCCGAGCGCGGAAACAUCCAGUCGUCGUCGUCGUGUUCUUUUAAAGUUCUUGCAUAUUCCAGUGCUAUAAACUAAGAGUGGCGUAUGACAGUUUUUCAGGUAUGUAGAAACCCACCAUCUCAGCCUGUUAUUUUUUAAAUUAAUGUAGAACAAUUUAUGGUUCGUUGCCCUUCUGACGUAACCUAUAGUCCAGGAACCUUGACAAAGUCAAAUGCAAAUAAGCCAUUAUAUACGCUUAUGACAUUGUUGAUUUCCUACUUGUCUUCCCCGAUAAAAUGUUGAUCUAUCAUUGCCAAGUAAAGCAACGUACGUUACACAAAGGACGACACACUGGAAGAAACAUACAUUUUAACAUUUUAACCCGGGGGAACUUCAAUACUUUAUAUCGAUGUAAAAAAACAAAAAGUGUUACUAUUUACCUAAUGAAAAAAACAAUUUAUGAAUAAUUAAUAUGUCUAUUGUACAUUACUGUAACCGGAAGUUUCAGCACAGCUG